GCAAAGUUGGUUUAGUGGUAUAAUUGCCGCCUGCCAUUUACACAUACCGACAUUCGUUGGUAUACAUCUAGUGCGCGGCAGACCCGGGUUCGAUUCCCGGACUUUGCA